rnacentral:rRNA from 1 species
AAAAGUUCGAAUGGGGAGAUUCAUCGUCAGCGACGCUGGCUUCACGGUGGCUCGCGAUAUCGCGGGACCCUCUCGCGGGGGUCGCCCGCGGUACGCGGUCGUCGUCGAACGUCCGGGCGGCGUCGGCGUGCACUUCUCCCCUAGUAGGACGUCGCGACCCGUUGGGCGCCGAUCUACGGUCCGAGCGGGUGCCUGUCGCGUCGCGCUAACGCGCGGACGCGGCAAACCCUCGGUCGCCUGAUACACAUCGGCUGCCCGGCGGUACUCCCAUGGUAUCGGGCCGCAAACCUCGAACUGCGUCGGGCUCGUCGCAAGCGCGGUCAGUGUCUGAACGCGGUGGUUACGGAUCUACGAGCCGUCCCCGCGCCUGACCAGCUGUUGGCAGACGAUGACCUCUGACAGGCCAAAAAUUGAAUUCAAUUGAAAGUGUGAUACCGGUCGGCGACGCUAUUGCUUUGGGUAAUCUCAGGACCCGUCUUGAAACACGGACCAAGGAGUCUAACAUGUGCGCGAGUCAUUGGGACUUCAGCAAAGCCUAAAGGCGAAAUGAAAGUGAAGGUCGUCCUUAAAAACGACCGAGGGAGGAUGGGCCGCGUCGAGAUGCGGCUUCGCACUCCCGGGGCGUCUCGCUCUCAUCGCGAGGAGAGGCGCACCCAGAGCGUACACGUUGGGACCAGGGGGGGG